AUAAAAGUGAUAUUGAUUCUGUUUUAAAUGUUAGUAUAAAUUAGCUUUAAUUUUUAUAUUAUAUAUGAGUUUUUGCGUGGAAAUUAUUUAUCUUAAUGAUUAUUUAUUGAUUUAUUUGUAGUUUUUUAUUUUAUUAAUUAUGUAAUUAUAGAUUUAGUAAAAAAUUUUAGGAUUGUUUAAGGUUGUGCCAGCAUACGCGGUUAUACAUUCAAUUCAAGUUAAUUUUUUUGGUAUAUUUAUUAAUUUAUUUUAUUGAAGUUUAAAAUUUAAAUUAUAAAGUGAAAUUUUAAUUUAUAAAAUAUUCUUUUGGUAGGAGAUUAUAAGAAAUUUAGUUUUUAGACUAGGAUUAGAUACCCUAUUAUUCUAAUCAUACAAAGUACCGUUGACAAUUAAAAAGGAUAGGCCCAGGCGAAUAAUUGU
rnacentral:rRNA from 1 species